UUUGCCUGUAUUUUUGUGGAUUUGUGUUGGAGAGCCUCCAACCAGAACGGGCCGAUCCGGCAGUACUUCGAGAGGUGGUGCAUCUCAUUUGUCAUAACUUGUGUUUCAUGUUCAGAGGGAGGAUGUUUAAGCAAACAAUGGGAGUGCCUAUCGGUGGUCCGAUGGCGGGUGUGCUUGUGGGGGUGGUGCUUUGGGCAGUGGAAGAGCAUAUAUCUAUCGUAGGCAAUAUAUGUGCCUAUACGAUGGAUAUAUCGAUGAUGUACUGGUGUGUUGGGGGGGUGAUCAGUGGUUGGAGGAUUUUGCGAACGAACUGGGAAUGCAGGAGUGUGGUUUGUCAUUGAAAAGAGACCGGCGAGGUGACCAAUCUGUGCAUUUUCUAGGCAUCAAGAUGGAUUUGG
rnacentral:lncRNA from 1 species